GUAAAAUUGAUUAGAAACCCACGAAUUGAAGGCUAAUGAUUGUAGAGAUAGAAGUUAUGAUAAAUUCACCAUUAAAGGAUGGUUUCAUCCAUUAAAAAGGGGUAGAAGUAAGUGGGUCUUCUUCCCCAAAUUGUUGUUCUUGUUUAAAUACAUGGUUUGUUGCUUACUUAGCAUCAUAUUGUUAGACUUUGACCGUUAUGAGGCGCUUCAGAAAUAGAAGACUCGUGUGGAGUAGUUCGUGGCUCCUGUUCUGCAUUUGAGAUUGUGUUCCAGAGAUUUCAUCCAGACUACAUCUCUAGCUUGAAGCUAGUUUGCCCGAUCAGAUCCGAGAGUGACCUUCUAUCCAUGCCAUGCCACCUGAAGAUCUCUCUUUCCAGAUGUCUAUUUUUAUUCCAGACAUUCUUUAUUAUUAUAUUUGAGAUAUACUUCAUUCUUUAGACAUUGUUAGUUAGAGUCCUUGUACGAUGACUUUCAGAUCUUGGGGGUGUAAUAGUUAAGACUUCCGCAAUUAUAUUAUCUAUUAAUUAUGAA